UCAGGACGAACGCUGGCGGCGUGCUUAACACAUGCAAGUCGAACGAUGAUGCCCAGCUUGCUGGGUUGAUUAGUGGCGAACGGGUGAGUAACACGUGAGUAACCUGCCCCUGACUCUGGGAUAAGCGUUGGAAACGACGUCUAAUACUGGAUAUGAUCACUGGCCGCAUGGUCUGGUGGUGGAAAGAUUUUUUGGUUGGGGAUGGACUCGCGGCCUAUCAGCUUGUUGGUGAGGUAAUGGCUCACCAAGGCGACGACGGGUAGCCGGCCUGAGAGGGUGACCGGCCACACUGGGACUGAGACACGGCCCAGACUCCUACGGGAGGCAGCAGUGGGGAAUAUUGCACAAUGGGCGAAAGCCUGAUGCAGCAACGCCGCGUGAGGGAUGACGGCCUUCGGGUUGUAAACCUCUUUUAGUAGGGAAGAAGCGAAAGUGACGGUACCUGCAGAAAAAGCACCGGCUAACUACGUGCCAGCAGCCGCGGUAAUACGUAGGGUGCAAGCGUUGUCCGGAAUUAUUGGGCGUAAAGAGCUCGUAGGCGGUUUGUCGCGUCUGCUGUGAAAUCCCGAGGCUCAACCUCGGGCUUGCAGUGGGUACGGGCAGACUAGAGUGCGGUAGGGGAGAUUGGAAUUCCUGGUGUAGCGGUGGAAUGCGCAGAUAUCAGGAGGAACACCGAUGGCGAAGGCAGAUCUCUGGGCCGUAAC
rnacentral:rRNA from 1 species